UACGGAGGGUGCAAGCGUUGUUCGGAAUUAUUGGGCGUAAAGGGCGUGUAGGCGGUUUGGUAAGUCAGAUGUGAAAGCCCUGGGCUUAACCCAGGAAGUGCAUUUGAAACUACCAGACUUGAGUAUGGGAGAGGAGAGUGGAAUUCCCAGUGUAGAGGUGAAAUUCGUAGAUAUUGGGAGGAACAUCUGUGGCGAAGGCGACUCUCUGGACCAAUACUGACGCUGAGACGCGAAAGCGUGGGGAGCAAACAGG
rnacentral:rRNA from 1 species